AUAAAUUUGAAGAAAUUAACUAACUUUCUAUGCAUCUGGACGAAGAGCGUGUGGCUGGAUGUGCUUAUUCUGUCUAUGCAAGUCUUCCUGCAGGUUGGUGUUUAAGCUAUACUUGUGUGAAUCGAGACCGCCAUCCCAUGGUUGCUCUCAGAUUUGUUCUCAGAGAGAUAAAUGGCUGUUACCCCCCGCCCACCUUUCUUUACAGGGUGGUUGUACUGAAACAAAAGACCACGUCCUUCAUAUAUUCAGUGCUGUGUUUUGACAUGCUGUGUAUUGAGUUAAACCUCUUCCCAGCUGCCAAAAACCUUCAACUUCACUUACCUAUGGCACGUAACUUUCAGUGCUCUGAAAAGUUAUCGAAGGGCAGGAGGGCACAGGAAAAGAAUAAAACAAAGAGAUUUUACAGCCAGACUACAGUGAACCUGCAGUAUAGUUAUACUGGUACCAUAAAGGAAUCAUUUUGGAUGCUGCUACUUUUGUUUGCCAAGGUAAAUGCUAUAGCAGAGCUAUGGCCAAAUGAAUUCCUGAAAGUAAUCUUUAUUUGGUAAAGAGACAAACUAUGAUGCUACAGUAAUUUUGUAUUGCAGUACUUCACUAUGCUGUAGUUUCUCACAGGGGAGGGUUGAAUACCUAAUGUUGUUUAGGGAGCCGUGAUAGCUUUUACAUUUUUACAGAUGCUUUCUAAAAUAAGCUAACAUCACCUGCUUGUUUUCCAAGCAUUCUCUGCAGAAUGGCUUUAGUGCACUCUUAACACAACAGUUUCUGUCUUCAGAAGGAAUCCUCAAAGUAAAUCCUGGCAAUGGGAGAGAAGGACAGAAUAGCUUUCUGUUUCUGAAAGGGAAAUAGCUGUUUGCUUGAGACUACUUACUGGUAUGUGUCCCACUUGAAAUGUUGAGUGCUCCUGCCAAGUUUUACAGGGUGUUUAUUUAAUAUGAGUUUCUGCUGAAUGUGUAAAUUUUCUUGACUACGUUGUGCCUGACAUAUCCAUAUGUGAAACUUAAGAGGGCUGGUCUGCACAGGAACAAUCCAUAAAUGUAAGGAAAUUGGCUGAACACAUAAAGUCAAUACACCUAAAUUACUCUAUCUUAAACUCUCCUGCGGAUAAUUUCUUUCUGGAGUAGAGUGAUUUCAUUUUAUUGCAUAGUAAGCCAAAAGGUAAAAUUACUUCACAACUGAAUGAGAACAUCCACGCUGUGUAACUGACUGUAAUUGAGGGUGUUUGCAAACAUCCUCUGGUUAAUCUACAUUCUGGUUAAACUGAGCUAAGAAACCUGCUUCCCAAAACAAACCGUCAUCAUUCAGAAGGCAAAGGCUGCUGCCUUUACCUAUACAGCCAGCUAUCUAAGGACUCUGUCCUGUUUCAGUACAAAUUUAGGCAAACCGCAUUAAUAAUUAUUAAUAACUAAGUCACAUAAUUUGCUUAGAAGCUUUGAAGAAGUGCUCUACUGGCUGAAUUGGUAGAAUAAUGUGCAUUAGGUGAUGUAGCAACUAUCAGCUGACAAAGCAGGAGAUAAAAAAUUUUGUGCUGCUGUGAAUGAAGGUGAUUUUCUUCAUUCUCCAUUGUUCUUUUGUUUUCACUAUCGCCGCGUGGUCCGAACCAGAACUGACAGCAUCCUCUCCUUAUCAUUUACCAAAAUUCCUUGAAACUCAUCUUGUUCAUUUCGCUUUGGGUUAUCUUGAAAAAUGCUAUUGCAAAUGUGAUUAACUGUGCUCCUAAAACGGAAUUCUUUUCUUCAGAAUAUGAUGUCAUUCUUCAGUGCUGCUUAGAUGUAGGAGAAUUAGAAGGACAUUGAGUGCAGUUAAUUCCAUUGAUUGUUAACAGCACAAAUGAUACAAUCUAUUUAUUGUAUUCUUCACCUGGUUCAUGGCCAUAGCCUUGCUUAAAUAUGGUAAUAUUUCUAACACCUACACCCAUCCAGUGAUCAGGAGCCAUUGUGCUUUAGGUCAAAAAUAGGUUCCCACAUCUGACAUCCUGAAUAUGUUGUUUAUUGUUGUUGUAUAUGAAGCAGGUACAGACAGGCCAGGACAAUAAUUACAUUUAUUAAUAGUCAAAUUUUAUCCAGAUAUGGAAUUUGUGAAUAUACAACAUUGCUUUAUUGACAUACCUUGUCAAGUGGUGAAAACUGUAAGUAUAAUGUCCUCACUGAAGAAGAUUGAACCAGUGAAUUAUUCUAUUAGUAGAGUACGUAAUUUUUGUACGGAUAAAGCACGUAUUUGAUUUCCUAUGCUUGAAAUCACAUUUUAAAAUACUAAUAUUGCAAUACAGCCAGUAGGUGGCGAUAGCCAUUUAAUUUAUUAAACUAUGGCAGCUCCCCAGCUCACGCUCUCGUGUUGGUACUCACGUUACCUUUGAGCCUUACAAAAAAAGAAAUUAAAAAAAUCACUCUUGAAGAGUCUUUCUGAGUGUACUCUCAACUUUAUAGUUGAAGGAUUUGCUGUGCAGGGAAAUGCAACAGCAUUUGUCGGAGCAGUGUCAGAGUCAUGUCAAUUUAAGCUCCAGUUUCCUGUUCUUCUAUAUAUUGACAGUAUUAGCUUAUUAUGAAUUUUUCCUUACAUUAUAUAUAUGUUUAUGAUGUAUUCUUUAGCAACUAGGAACAAAUGUUCCCAAGGCCUUUUUUUUCUGUGGCAUGUAUAUAUGCCUUUGUACUUAGACUGAGGGAGCCACUUGAAAGCUGUAGAUUGUAUGCAGAUACCCACUGGUAGUAUAGGUGCAAUAUCAUAUAAGAUAAAAAAUUAGAUUUAUUUUCUCUGAAUGAUACAGAAUGUUAUUAUUGGUAGGAUAUGAAGAAGAAAAGGCUUGUGUAUAGUUCUUAAAAGUGUUUAGAGUACAAUAGCAGUGAUAGUUGGGAGUCUGUUUAGGACAAAGCCAUGAGGGGUUUUCUCAGAUUAGUGAGACAUUACUCUUAUAAAAUGUUAUGCAAUGCUAUUUUGAUUAACUGUGUGUUAAAAAAAUCUAGUCCUUGACUUGUCAAUAGAUUGGUUUUGUUUUCUGCAAAUAGACAUCAGGUGGCUCUGCUGCUUGAACCAAAUGUUCAGCUUUAUCUUCAGCCAGAAAUUUAAUAUGAAAUGAGAGUGAAAGAGAACGUCCAUGAAAGAAGAGGAUAAACAGGAGGCAGAUGGUCCAUGUGUGUAACUUGCAUUGCCAAAUAGUGGAUUAAGAUGAUCUUUUUGAAUGCUACUUCACAACCUUAGAGCAACUGAGAGAAGUUAGGUUUCCAUUAGCUAUUGAAUGAGAAAAUUUAUUCCAGUCUUCAUAAGAACAUCUCCCAUUUCCUGAACUAGAGGAGAAGAUGCUAAUCUAAAGAGUGACCUAGAAGCAGUGUAAGUAGAGGGAAGCACAAAAGUGCCAUCUCCCUGCAUGGUUCUAUCAAACCCAUUUACCAUACUGAUCAGAGACUGAGUCAGAGCUAGAAAGCAGAUGAAAUUCACAGGAAAACCAUUUGAGCAGUCAAUAAUUUUGCAGUUCGCAACAAUGCAUUAGAACUGUUUCUUCAGCCACAGUGUUGUAGGAUGGUUCCCCUGACUGGAGGGCUAUGAUGAAUUGUGCUCUGUAUAACAAAGCAGCUCAGAUGCAAGGAGCUUUGCUAUGAAAAGGACAAGUCUGUCAGCAGUUUAUGGGAUCAGAAGGGAGGCCAUGAAGCAGACAUAGUGAUAGGAUUCUGCUACUGGUUGCCCAGACAAGAAGAGCAUAGCCUUCCUUAAACAACUGGAAUAAGUCCCAUAGGCCCUGCUUCUCAAAUGGAGUCUUGAAUCAUUCUGACAUCUGCUGGAUGGACAUCACAUCAGGGAACAGGUAGCUGAUGAGAUUUCUGGAGUACAUGGGGGACAAUUUUGUGGUUCACUUAGGUAGACUGACUAGAAGGGCUCCACUGACCUGACCUUCUGAAUAUGUAAGAGCUGGUACAGAAUGAGAAAGCUUGACAGCAGACUUGGCUACAGUGACCAUAAAAAGAUGUUAAAGGAAUUAAGGAAAGGGAAUAGUAGUCUGACAGCUUAGGACUUUGUGGGCUUUUUCGGGGAAUUAGCAGGAAGGAUCUCAUGAGAGGUUGAAGGGCAAAUAUGCCCAGGAGAACUGGCUAGACAUCAAGGAUAUUCUAUUUAAAUCAGAAUAAAGAAAGAAAGAAAGAGAGAGAGAGAGAGAGAGAGAAAGAAAGAAAGAAUGGAAAAGCAAAAGAUAGCCUAAGCGUAGAAAAGAAAUGGAUAGAAGCUAGUAGCUGGAAGCAGGGUCAAGCCACCUGUAAGAAAUUAGGAAGUAUCACCUGGGUAUACAAUGAGGACCUCGAAUGGGAUAGGCAGUCUUGUACCAAAGGAUACAAACAAGUUCAGUGUCAUCAUUGCCUUGGUUUUUACUAGCAAGCUCUCCUCUCAGAUUUAUCAGGCUCCUUUUGUUCAGUAGCAAAACUUGAGAGAAAGAGGUAUUACAAAUGGUAAAGGACAAUCAAGUUAGAAACUACUUAAACUGGAAGUACUGAAGGUGAUAGGCCUGGAUGGGAUUAAUGCAUUUCAAGGUGCUGAGGAAGUUGGCAGAUGUCAUUACCAGGUACCUCUCUUUUAUCAUCCAAACGUUAUGGUGAACACAGCUGUUGGAUGAGUUGAGAAAGAGAAAUGUCAUGCUCGUCUUCAGAAGUGGUAGAAGAGAUCUGGAAACCAAGGGGUGGUGAGCCUUACCUCAGCCUGUUAGAAUCAUAGAAUCAUAGAAUCGCUCAGGUUGGAAAAGAUGUUAAAGAUCAUCAAGUCCAACCACAACCUGACCAUAUUACCCUAACUCUAACAACCCUCCACUAAAUCAUGUCCCUGAGCACAACGUCCAAAUGGUUUUUGUAAACCUUUUCCAGUCACAUAAAGAGAAGAAAGGUAAAUGGAAAGUGCUAGUGUGGAUUUACUGUGCCUGGCAAUCCUGAUUACUUUCCAUGGUGAGAUGAUUGGUUCUAUGGAUAAGAGUAGUGCCUGUAGAUUACCUUGAUUCUAGCUAGAUCUUUGUUCUAGUUUGUUAGAAAUUCUUAUAGACAAACAGAAGAGGUAUGAACUGGACGGCUAGACUACGAAGCUAGUGAUAAACUGGCUGGAUUGUUUGGUUUGAGGUGUAGAGGUCAGUACUUAAAAGUUUAAAUGACAACCAGUUGAAGAUGCAUCCCUCAAGUGUUGAUGCUAGAGAAAUUGUUUUUUAACAUCUUCAUCAACAAUCUUGCUGAUGGGGUAGGAUUUUGCUUUCAUGAACAACACCAAACUGGAGUGAGCAAUUAAUACCCUGCAGGGCUGGGCUGUCACUUGGAGGAACUUUGACAGCUAGAGAAAUGGGGCUGGUAGAGACAUCAUGAAUAUAAACAAAGUCCUGCACCUGUGAUGGAGUUAUGUCAUGCAUCCACCGGGAUAACAGCUCUGCAGGAAGGCACGCUACAGGCAAGUUGAACACAAGGGAGCUUUGUACCCUUAGGUGAUGAAGACCAACCAUCUAUUGGGCUAAGGUAGUAAAAGUAUAUCAAUCAAGCUAAAGGUAGUGAUUAUUCAUGUUUCAUGUUUGACACCACAUUUGAAAUACCUUUCCUAGCUUCAGGUUCCUUGGUACCAGCAAGAUAUUGAUUGACAAAGCGUGAACAUACGCAUGAAAAACUGAUGAGCAGAUAAACUGAUUGUUUUGUCUGGAUAAGGGUAAGGGUCAAUGAGUCUAACUGCUAUCUGAGGAGGCUUAGGAAACUCCAUGCCAGAGGACUUUUUGAAACAACAUAUUUAACUUGAAGUUGGCUCUACUUUGAGUAGGAGAGGGCACUUGGUGAUCUUCAGAGGUCCCUUUCAAUACAUUUUCUUCUGUGAGUGAAUGAUUAUCUUAACAUGAGGCCUUAAUGCGAUUACUGGCAAGCUAGAUAUGUUUCAUAGAAAUCAUUAAAAUUAAAAAAAAAAAAAAAGUGUAAUUCUUCAUCAAAGUCUCCAGGUAAUGAAGACAGUGAGCAGUCUGCAUUUAUUAAUCAUGCUUACCUAUAGCCAAAGCAGAAAAUAUUUCAAAUAUCUAUCAGUGCCCUGAGCACACUAAUGGCUUGAGGGUACUAAUGCCCUGUCCCUGUCCACUGCUGAGGCUCCCUCACAUGGCCAGGAUCACCACGUCAUCCCAGUGCCACUCACCCCUGCCCCAGUAAGGCAGCAGGGAUGGGCUCCAGCUCCCCACAACCCUGCCCUGCCUGACCAUAGUCUGAUGCAGUUUCCGAAGGGCCGUGAAGGUUGCCAUGAGCACCAAGAGUACUUUUUUGUUGUUGGAAUUUUAUUUUAUUUUUUACUUCUGCUGUUGUGGCUAUUUGAGUUUAUGUCAAUAGUUUAAAUGCAUGGUGGAGUAAGAAGUUGAACAUGGCUCUCCCGUGCCCUUUCUGAAGGUUUUAAACACUGAGCUGUAAAAUCAUUACGAAGGGAAAAGUAAAAUUAGUAUGCAAAGUUUCUUUCUCAGGACUAUACACAGUGAUUAUAUCCCUUUUACAUACUGCUAACACAGAGCUCAUAUGUAUACCAACGCUGUGGUAGAAAUUUGUCUUUGAUUGCGUUAAUUUCUUUUCAUUGAAAACUUUGGGCGUUUCUCAGAGAGAAAAACAUCUCAAAUAUAUUUAUGAGCUGGGGAUUUUCUUUCCCAGGCGGUUUGCCUUGCAGAAAAGAUGAUCUCAUUUGCUGAGCCAUGCUGCCAGCAUUCUUCCUUUUCAUGAAAGGAAAUUAUGGCUCCUGUGAAAGUGUCACAAAUGACACGGAGGGUUGGCAGCACAGAAUCAUUAUUGCUUGUUGAGUAAACAUUUUCAAGCAGAGAAUAAAUAAAUCCUCAUCAUAACUGAGGAUUUGGAGAGGGGUAAUAGAGAACUGUAUUAGGACAUUGUUAGCAUUUAAAUGUGCCUGUUACCAAGCUAUAGCAAAAUUAACUACCGUGACUACCAUUACACUGUCUUGCAACACUUGUCUUGUGCCCCCUCCCCGGCGCUCCUUGGCCCCCUAAUUUUUCCCACAGAGCUGGGUGGUGUUUCCCACCCGGCCUUUGCCCCCAGCAGCAAAGAGAGGCAUCUCUGUCUGCUGACUGAGCUCCCCAUAGCCCCUUCCAAACUUGCAGGGAAUUUCUCUGCACAAAGGGUGGCUCAGAGCUGGCAGGUGUGGGGUGCGGGUGGCUAGGAAUGGGGGGAAUGUGAUUAUGUGUCAGGGAGGUGCAGGAGGGGAAGGCUUCUCUUCUGCUGUGUGCUACAGGCUUCAUCACGUGCUGCUGACCUCAGCACAAGAUCAGCUCACAAUGUAAAGACCCCUACCUGUCUCAUUUUCAAAAGGUUUUAUUGAGUUUUACUACUCUGAUGGUAUUGGGUAUAUGUAAAUUUUAUAGAAGAGUCACAUGGUGACUCCUACAAUUGAAGUGACUUUUCUUUUAUUGUUCUUUUAUUUUCUGCCCAAAUGAACACGUUAUUUGGGAGUGUGCUAGUGACUGGUAUCUCUGACAGUAUGACAGUGAACUACUUGCCUGACCUUAAAACAGCGACUGCAUUAUGUUGGUACAAGUUCCUGCUAUACUGUUAGUGGUUUGCAUGCUUGAAUUCACACUUUGCAAGGCUUUGAAGAAGUGGCAGUUCACACAAGAUUGUAGGGGAUGAAAGAUGACCUUUAAAAGUCUCAGUGAAGCAGCACAGCAUACUUUCUAACUAGAAUGGAUGUUCAUACAGGCUGAUGACCUGGAGGUGAGAGCACAGAUUUUGUCUUGGGUGCUGGCUAGCAGAAAGAUCUUAGUGCAUGAGCUUUUUAUUUAGGAAUUCAUUUUUCUAGGGGGUCCUUAGGAAUGGAACAUCACUCUCCUUAAGGCGUGUCUGAAACUGCAGCUGUUCAUCCAGUUUAUUGCACUUCCGGAGGCCGAAAGUUUGCUUUUUGUAGCUUAGAAAACCUCUUUGUAGGUUUUCUAUGUCCGGCAGUUGACUGAUGGUCAUCGUUUUCUCCAUUGUCCCAUUAAUGCUCAAAGGCUUUAAUUUGGAGAUAUUUUAUUUUUUUAUUAUUUUAUCUUUAUAAGGAAAAACAAUGAUAGAGAGCUCAAGGCUGUACAUGUCUUUCUAAACUCAGUAGGACCAGUUUUCUGAACUCUAGCUCUGUCACCAAGAUCAUGGGCAGACUCUGGUCCAAAUUUCUUACAGCCAGCUCCCUCUAAAGCAUGUGUCCUGGAUUCAGGAAGAUGGAGUGUUGCAAACCAAAGCAGAGGAGGAGGCUGCCAUCUAAGCAGUGUGAAGUCCACUGCAUGAGCCUGCUCAUGGUUGUUUUUGUGUUGCUGUCUUUUUUAGUAUUUAUUUUUUUACAUAGCAGUGUCAACAGACCUUGAGAAAACAGACAAAAUACAUAUCACUUUUAUUCUGCCAAUACAUACAGAAUGCCACCUCUGGAUGUAUUUGUACUACUUUCAAGGCAGUGUACCUAGUAGAUGUCAAUACAAGCUCAGUUGGACUAUCCAUAAGAAAUGAUUAUUGUAUAAUUGUAGUAUUUUACACUGAAGGACUGGAGUGAUGGCUGCACUCAGUUUUUGAUAAAUGAAAACCUGCUGCACUAAAUGAGACGGUUAAUUCACCAAAGCAUGUUUACUGUGGAAUUCACACCCAACUGCAGCAUAUGUAUGUUACUAUUACAUAAUGAAUAAAUUAUUAUGAGCUGCGACCCCCAGAGGCAUCCAGGUGCCUGAGUGUCUCCCCUCCAGUGAGUGAACUGCAGCCACUUUGACUGGUGGUAGCUGGUGCUUAGCAUACCCAGCUCAGAAGUAAGUCUCCAGGCAUCCAUAAGAGGCUUUCCAGUAAACAAGAUAGCCCCUCUAAUGAUGAAUGAGUUCUUCUUUAUUCUUAUGGCUUGAGGUAUUUAUCUUCUUGCAUCAUUUUCUGAUUUCCAGUGCUAUAGUAAGACUGCUGUAAUUUGCAAUGUAAGAGUAGUGUGAAGCUCAGUUUGUUCUGUUUAAUAUAGUGUGUGGACUGAAAUUCAAGUAGAUAGCAAUAUUUCAAAGCAAAUAAAUACAUCUGUGUAAGUCAAGACAAAUGCUAAAGCAUAAUCAGUCUCAAAGUGAAGUAUAAUUUGACCAGUGAAUGAAUUCACCAAGCUGCUAGCAGUGAAGAAAUUGGAGUUCCUUGGCACACGAAAGAAGUUUAUUGCCUAGAGAUGAUAGUGCUUGUCUCCCUGUGGACUUGUGGGGUAAAGCCUCACAUCAGCCUCACAUAUGCUAAUAAAGAUCAAUAUUUCUUAUUUUCUCUUCUCAUAGUAAGGAAAUUAAUCCAUGGUGUUACUUUAGAAAAAUAACCCAAGUGGUAGAUUUGGGCAGAGAAAUUCUUACCUACACCUCAGUUUUAUUCCACAGGAAGCCUAGUGAUUACUGCUUUGCUAAUGCAUGAGCUUAUUUGGAAAAGCAGCUUUGAGCAUGCAUAUGAAAUGGUAGCCACCCUUUGCCACUGCAUGGGCCAUUCUACUCUCAGCCCUUUGUUUUAGUAAAUAUGUUCCCAGUGGGGCAAAAUUCUUGCCAAGCCUCUUAGAAGGUGUCCUUAUACCCAUACUUCAGUUUUCCACAUAGACUUUUUUUUUUUUCUUUUUCCCCUCAACUGUUUGUUGUUAAUACAGCUUCAGGUUUCCAUUAGUACAAUAUUUGAGUGUCUCAGUCUAAAGUGUGUUUAUUUUUUCAGGUCCACGUGAAACAGGGAAGGCUCUCUGAUAUUUCUUUUCAGGUCAUACUUUGGUGGGGAGAGAAUAGAAACACAGAGAAGCUCAGAUUCUACAAUACAGUGAGGUGCCAGACUCCUACGUGUCAGAAAUUCCUCCAUGUGUUGGAGGGUCUGAGCAUGGCUUGGUUCACAUCACAAAGCAAGUAUGUGGCAGACUGGGGAAUGCAGACAAUGAAUUGGCCUGCUGUGCCUCCAGUGAAAAUGGGCUUGGAGGGCACGCAUUUAAUGACCGUCCAGAAACAAGAAGCAAAGGCAGUGAGCAGGAGGGUUUGGAAAAGAGUGGUGCAUUUCUUACGUAGGGUCUUUACUGGAUCAAACUAAGGUGUGGCUGUACCUGUCAGCAUGAAUUGUUACUGCACUCGGAAGAGGCUGUUCAUUGGAAGAUACUCAAAUUAAAAACAGAGUCCUGUAUUUUCAAGAACUGCAGGGCAAAGGGAAAGAAUAUUCAUACCAAACAUUUUUAACAUACAUAUAUUGGUAUUAUUGGCCCUAGCUCCUGACUCAGUGACAAAAGCAUAUGUGCAUAAAGUGAUUUCUUUGAGGUAAAGGUCAUUGUUCAGUCUGCGCAUGCUGAAUGUCUUGUGUUAACCUUCUCUUUAAGCAUAAGAGCAGACCUGCCACAGUCUCCAUACAUCUUGCCUUUCCUUUUGAAUCACAAAGGAUUCACUUCACUUAUAACAGCCCGACUAAACGUGGUGCAAUUCCAACACUACAAUAUAUAUAUGUAUAUAUAUAUAAAAGAUGUAUCAAGUUUUUAAAAGAAACUUCUGGAAGCUUAAACAUAGGAAUGAAGGAAUGAAGACUCAGGGCUUUGUGCAAAGCCCCGGGGACAGCCUGCGACUUUGCUGGAACAAAAGUUUCACUAUAAAUACAUUGCGAAAAGCAAACAUAAUGUAGAUAGGUUCAUUGUAUUUCUCUUGCACCUUCUCGCUUUUGUUUAAGUUUAAACCAAUCUUUUGGAACUAUGAGUCAUUUUCAGAACAGAGAGUGAUUCAGGAGAUGUAAUCUUUGUGUUUUAUAGGCCAACAUCAUUAGAUAGGCCCUAUGCAAAUUAACAGAAGCGUUGCUGAACAGCAGUGACUGGCUUACCAUGUAUUUAUGGUUGCUUCUAACUCUCAGCCAGAAAACAUAAAUGUCUCUCUGGUGGAAACGUGUUUGGUGAGCAAUAACCCUCUCAGUUGGAGAAGAUCCAUCUGUCUUUCCUUCUACUUCAUGCAUCUUCACCACUGAAAAGAAGUUCAAGGAAAAUCAAGUUUCAGUUGUCAAAAAACCUGAUGCUUAAGAAUGAUUCUGUGAAAUAGACCAAAAAAAAGCAGCUGAAUAUUUUGUGGCUUAAUUUCAAGAUUCCCAUCGGUGCUAUAAAAAUACAAUUGAGUUUUAACUACUGCCUUCAUGCUAUCAAGAUGAUCCUGUAAAACUUAACUAUUUUGGUGUUUGCUAUUAUCUGAUUCUUUAGCAUGAAGUGGAAAGCAAAAGUAUUUUCCAAGAUUAUAUUAAUAUUUUCUUUCAGUUACAAGCUACAUCAAUUAAUUUCUUUAUAAACUCUACUAUAACAAGUUCCCACUGAUUCUUGGUUACUAUAAACAACAUCUGGGUACUGCACUGGUGCACAAGUUCUGUAAACACAUACUUUUAUAUCCAUCACAUCCUGAUGUUUCACAAGGAUAAAGCUGAUGUUCCCCUAAAAAAUAGAGAAGGCAGAUGCCUGUAGUGAUUUCACCGAAGUUACAACGUGAAGCAUGUGUGAUGUUAGGUACUUUACAGUACUUCUAAAGGGAGAAAGAAUGUGGCCGCAGAAAGGGAAUCCUGCCCGCAUGUUUGAUUCUUGAAAUGCACGUUAAAAGAUUUUUAUAUAUAAUAAAAGGCAAACAGUAAUAGAACCCCGCAGAUGGAGACAACUGUAGCACAGAGAGUGAAAAAUGUCUCACCGUCGGGCAGUGGCAGAACCAGCAAUGAAACACAAACCUCUUGCUCUGCUGGUUUACUCUCCAACUAAUUCACAUAAUAGGGGGUAGGGCUCUUUGCAGUGCUUCAGGCUGAUGGAGGUUACGCCUACAUAAAGUCCACACUUUUACCCUUGUACAAAGCCCCAAGCCCCUUUUACUUGCUUUUGGAGCCCUCCCAGAGACCCUGUAGCUCAGAGGGGAUCUGAGUGUGGGUCAAACAGCAGAUAACAGCUGAGAAGGGUUUUAAGAAAAGGUUUCUGGCUGCUUCUUGGCUGUUUGCUUCCCGGCUGAGGAGGGAGCCCAUCUGUGCAAGCCUUCCUCCUUCAUUUCAGUGCUGGCAGCGAGCUGCAGUCUCUGCUUAGGAGCAGUGCCACGAGCUGUGCCUUCCAGGAACAGGAGAGGAUGCAGCGUGCCCGUGUGGGUGUGUGGUGCACCCUUUGGGCCCCAGACGCAGGGACAAGACAAGCACAAAAGGGAGAGUAGGAAAAUGGAAUAUGCACAACUGGUUUAAUGCCAUGGGUUGUACACGUUUCUGAGACCAGCGUUUGCACUCAUUACGUGAUGUGCUUUCUCUUUAAUGGAAUUCUCUUAGACGUGCUGCUGAUAGGCUCUCUUCCCAUCUCUCCUUGAAUUCAAACAUUAUGGCUGAUUGAAAAAUAAGCAUGCAUUUUUCUGCUUUUUUCUUCUUUCGGUGUUUUUUUUUGGUCAGGUGGAAACAAUGAGGUGAACUCAUUUGUGACAGGCCCUUCUUCAGGCCUCUCCAACGUGGUCUGUAAUGAGGGCACAGUGGAAAUUCCACAAAGAAGCCCAGAAGCUUUUAAGUUUGGGCAACCGUGUUGUUGUCUGUGUUUUAUUCGCAUCAAUCAGGUUUUUUUCACACCCAUCUUAGCUUCUUAUUGGUACCACAAGUCAACGCUUGCUGGAAAACGCCACCCUUGGAAAACAACCUGUAACGUACGACUGCUGUCUCUUCGUGUAUUUUCUGCUCAGAUCUUAACAUGCGCUUCCUCUGAAGGCCACCAGCGAUAAUAUUCACUCCCUCUCCAGAACCACGUGAGUAAAUACCUCCUCACGCAGGUGAGGAUUGGGCUGGGCACAAACAAGAGGAGGAUGCCAAGUAAACACAGGACUGCUGGGCAGCUUUGGUGGAUCCCAGUGCUAUUGUCUGGGUAAUUCAGGGGAAGGUUUCACUAAAAUGGUGUCCUUGUCACGCGAAGCACGGAAAACAGCUUCCCCGCUCCGGCUAGCAGUGGUCCGUGAGUAACUUGCCUGCAUGACGGCCGCCGGCCAGCAGGGGGCGCCUGCUUCGUGCAGCCCCUGGGCUGUUUAAUGCCUGGGGCCUCCGUGCACGAACGAGGUCGUUGCUGCCCGCGAGAGGCUGUGUAGCGAGGCCCCGCCCAGGUGCUAGGGCAGCCUUGCAGGGUGAAUGCCUUCCUUAGCGGUGAAGGCAGCUGGAAGUUUGCUGAUGGACAGUGUGAGCUGACCACUCCUCUUGCGAGGUCACACCCCCUGCAGGAUGCUUAGACCAAGUCAGGACUCAGCAGGGGCUUUCAGUCAUCCCACUGGCUGUAGGUGUUAAGGUUUUGCAUUUGCUUUCAAAGCAACCAGAAGUAAUGGUGUUUUUUGUUUGUUUGUUUGUUUGUUUGUUUGUUUCGUUGCACAUCUCCCCACUUGCUUGGGAGGAUCUGCCCGGAAAAUGGGGAGCUGCAGCCCCCGGGGAAUAGCCAUGCUGUUGAUGGGAGGCUGGGGACAAUGGUGAGACUGUUCCACUGUAGGAAAGGCAGCUGAAGGCUCAGACAAGAGGAGCACGCGGGAACAGGCUUUGUGGCUCAGGCUCUGCAUGAAAGCGCUUAGCACAGGACAGGGAGCACAGUUUCAGUCCCAGGUGUCUACCUGUCUUUGGUUAUUCAAUGCAUAGUGGUUAUUAAAAUGAAGAAAUCAGAAUUCCUGAUCCAGCUUGUUCUUAUUUUUCCCUCUCUCUCUCUCUCUCUCUCUCUCUUUUUUUUUAAUGAAACAGAAGUCUGAUUGUGGUGCCAUCCAUGUAACAGAAUGCUGUUGGUGUGUGCUGGUGUUCUCUGUUCAUGCACGUAAACCUGGGACUCCCAGGGAACUUAAGAAGCAUGAGCCUUGUUUGUGAAUCUCCAGAUGGGGGCAGACAUUGAGAUGCACGGCUAGAAUAUUAGGCUGGGAUUGAUUACCCCAGUUCAGCUGUCAGGGAGCAGAAAGAAUUAAACCAAAGUCUCCUGGAUCCCAGGAAAAUGGCAUUACCGAUACCUCAACAUUUGGAGCAUCACUCAACAGUGAGCCCUGUGGCUGACAGUGGAGAGCCCAGUUCUGCCAGAGUGCUGGAGAACAUCUACUGGGAAAUUCAGACCACCUGGGGAGGUAGCUCAGCAAGCAAGGAGGCUUCAGACUGGACCUGAAGUUUUUGAGACCUCAGUGUAACAUGACAGAAUUGCAGCACAGCUUUUCAGGGUACAUUUGUACAUGAAGAGACAUUCCAUGUUUAUUCAGGAAUGGCCCACACUGCAUUUAACUCUUGCUCAAAUACACAAGCUGAGCGAGGGCAGAGGCUGAGGAUGUGAGCCUGUUCCCACAGAAGAUCAGCUCCUACUGUAAGCUUGGCUCCUGCUCCAGGUUUCAUAGCGGUGGAGUAGAAAAGUCCCUUCCUUUAAACAGGGCCAAGUAGACCAGAGUCAACAAAAGGACUUUUCUUUCCAUGGCAUCCUGUGCCUGAGCAGAAAUCACUGAUGAAGCUGCUGGAUUUUGCCUGUAGACACCCGUGCAUGUGGACUUCUGCCAGCCCUACCACGGGAGGAGCAGAUACGUAGAGGGCUCCGAGUUGACUUUGAGGACCAAGAACCUCUUCAUCACUGCAUCGAGGUGUACCUCCCAGUUGAGGGACUGACCAUCCCAGGCACAUUGCCACUGAAGAUUCUGUCUUGUAACUCCAAUUUCACAUCAUAUCUGCUUUGAUUUCUCAUCUCUAGUGCUAAGGAACUACCCAUAACAAGGAAUCUACCCAUAUCUACUCUACCCUCUCUCUUCCUUUUGUGCUUGUCGCUUUUUUUUCAGGAGAUGCCUGUUUGUGGUUUGUGGUUUCCCACAUUCAAAGAAGAAACUGCGUACCUGGGCACAAUGUGCCCUCUGUCUUUUGCUACAUUUAUCCCUCUAAACGUCAGUGGCUAAAAGAGCAGAUGGCCUGGAUAUAUAAACUUUAUUACAGGUAACAGAAGAGGGGCUGUAGCAGAUGAGGACAUGCAGUACUCAUGUUUUUGUAAAUGGCCAGCUGGUUUCUUUAAAAUAGGAAGAAGAAAGGUCUGGCAUUCACUUGGAAUGCUGAGAUAGCCCAGAGUUUCAGAUAUAAUUCGCACCAUCAGGCACAGCAUAUAGUAAUCCUCCAUGAUGAUGUUUUAUGCCUUGGAAUCAGUUCUGCCUGUUCUGAUUCUUGUCUGUGAGUAAUGGGAGAUGGCAGUGCCAGAGUAGAAAGGAUUACCUGUGCUGUUAACUCUGCUGUAUUGGCAAUUUCUUCUCAUCUUAUUCUGUUUUCUUUUCUCUUAUCAAGCCCAUUUCUUUUUCUUUUGUUGGAGUGGUUUGUGAAAUAUAAAGAAAUAACAUGUUAUUUCUCUGAUUGUCUCCUCCUUGUAUGCGUGCACCAGGAGUGCAUGUGCUGUGUUCAAGGACUUCUAAAUGUCACACAGCUGAACCACAGCACUUCAGCCAUGUGACACUUGCAAGCUACAUUCAUGAGUAGCACAUGCCUUUCCUUAGUUCAGAACAGAUGUCAUUUCCCUUGGAAGAUCUCCUGGAUUCCUGAAAAUGAAGUUCGGUAAUUUUCUUUUAAGAGCUUCAGGUUAAUAAGUGUGUCUUCAAACUGCAGGAUAUGAAAGACAGCAAGUAGAUGUUUCUGAGAUAGUGAUCUUCCUUCCCUCCAAAACAAAUUGUGUUAAGUAGCUGCUCUUGGGGUGAUAGUUUCAGUGUAAAACGCUGCAGUGGCUACCUUUCUUUUCUCUAUAAUGCAGAGGCCCUGCAGCUGAGUCCCACAUAGGACAGGGAAUAUCAUCCUUUCUCAAGUCUACGCAAUGCUCUUGAUGUCCAGCAUACUUACAGAAGUUACAGAAUACUUCUUGCAAUGCCAUUCAGCAGAAAACAGCAAUAAAAAAAAAAAAUCACACAUAUCUCACCUUUUCUGGCUGUACAUCACCAGCACUGUUCUGGUGAACUAUGCUGCUGGGUGGCUGAGGUGAUCGUGAAAGGAAACAGUGUUUUUAAGUGGUUGACAGGAAAACAGGUAGAGAGAGAGAAUUGUCACCUACUUUUAGUGUAAUGCUUUUUACGCCGAGAAGGAAGUGUGGGCUUGAGCAAGCAUGAAGCAGAAAGAAAGAAAUUUAUCAACUAAAAUGCUUGCAUGACUAUUACUAUGCCCAGGGAAAAAUAAAGCCGUUUUCUGACAGAUUAAAUUAGUACUGCAACCUUAGCAUAUAUUUCACUUUGCCUUAAAAAGAAACCAAUACUGUUUCGAAUUAAACGAGAUGUUUGUAGGAUUAUUGACAUGUGUUUCAUUUGUAUGAAAUGAACAGCAGAAAGAUCUGGAGGAGAGAAUGGUGGGGUUAAGUAUAUUCCUGGCUGCCAAUAUUUAUGCUUCCAGGUAAUUUAGAAAAAUCGGUUUUAUCGUUGCUCAUAUAGAAUCCCUUUAUCUCCUAUUUAGAGAAUCUUUUUGUAAUGCAAGUUCAUGAAGGGCUCUUCUACAUCUCUCCUCCAACUCAGUAAAAUUACAGUCUACAAUAAAGCUCAGUCUCUUUUAGUUGAGACAUUGCUGUGUUGAAUUGUGGAUUUGCUUGCAGGACAGACUGGAUGUGUAUGUAUGAACAUCACACUGCAGGAAAUACAGAAACCUGCACUAUGGUGAGCUUCACUGCGUGUCACCUGGUGUGCAGCUACAAGUGGCUGUUUCAGUAAUCAGGAUCUACAGAAGGUAGGGACAUGUCAAAGUUACACAGUGGCAAAAUGGCCCUUGCUGUUUUCCUGGCGUGUGAAACUCAAAACCAUCCAAGCAGCAUUGCAAAUUCAUCUCUUUUCUUUUGUAGCAACCACUUUCAUUUGGCUAAGCUCUCCGAAAAUGUCACAGAAUAGAGGAACUGAUACCCUAAGUUGUUUAUACCAGCAUGUGAAUACUUCUUUAUCAUUACUCCACUUUGUUUUAUUGAUUUUGUUGUACAGGGUUACUGCAGCCUGAAGACCAGGUGAGAAGUCCGGCUGCAUUCCUGGACAGGGACAGCCAUAGUAUACAGUGGAGGAUGCUGAAGAUGUCAUUCAAGAUUAAAAUAACCUUAAUAAAUUCAGUACACAAACACUGCUAGAAGGAUCAUACUCUCAGCUAAUAACUGCUGUUGCCAAGUUUUAAAAAGAAUUCCUCCUCCACAUAAAACAUCUACCAAGGUGAUGACCAUGUUAGUUACUUGGAUUGAUUUAAUAAGAGGCAGUGUAGGUGAGUCAGACUGUUCCCAUUACGGCUCAAACUUAAAAUAGCUUGCUGUAAAUAAUCUUUUAUGCUUAACAAAAGCUUGUACAAUUCCUGUUAAUUAAUUCAUCACCCACACUGACAUUCAAAAGGCUG
ensembl:lncRNA